UACGAAGGGGGCUAGCGUUGUUCGGAAUUACUGGGCGUAAAGCGCGCGUAGGCGGCUUUGCAAGCCAGAGGUGAAAUGCCUGAGCUUAACUUGGGAAUUGCCUUUGGGACUGCGAGGCUUUGAGGACGGGAGAGGUGAGUGGAAUUCCCAGUGUAGAGGUGAAAUUCGUAGAUAUUGGGAAGAACACCGGUGGCGAAGGCGGCUCACUGGCCCGUUUCUGACGCUCAAGCGCGAAAGCGUGGGGAUCAAACAGG
rnacentral:rRNA from 1 species